rnacentral:ncRNA from 1 species
UAAAAUGCUUUGAACGGGAGAAGUAAUCUUCAAACACUUUACAGGAAGGAACACUUUAACUGAGAGCGGUUCUAAAGUUAAGGAAGAUGAAAGACACCCGGGAGCUUAUACCUGAAUAAAGUAGGGUGUUACGUUAUCUGCGUUAAAGAUUGAGUGGGUGAAAACCAACUAGGGUGGCACCGCGGUAUAUAACCGUCCCUUUU